rnacentral:rRNA from 10 species
AAGGUUGACCUCGGAUCAGGUAGGACUACCCGCUGAACUUAAGCAUAUCAAUAAGCGGAGGAAAAGAAACCAACAGGGAUUGCCCCAGUAACGGCGAGUGAAGCGGCAACAGCUCAGAUUUGGAAUCUGGCCCCUAGGGCCCGAGUUGUAAUCUGGAGAGGAUGUUUCUGGCGCGGCGCCUUCCGAGUUCCCUGGAACGGGACGCCGGAGAGGGUGAGAGCCCCGUACGGUUGGACGCCUAGCCUUUGUGAAGCUCCUUCGACGAGUCGAGUAGUUUGGGAAUGCUGCUCAAAAUGGGAGGUAAAUUUCUUCUAAAGCUAAAUACCGGCCAGAGACCGAUAGCGCACAAGUAGAGUGAUCGAAAGAUGAAAAGCACUUUGAAAAGAGGGUCAAACAGUACGUGAAAUUGUUGAAAGGGAAGCGCCCGUGGCCAGACUUGUACCCCGCGGACCAUCCGGCGCCCUCAGCGCCGGUGCACUCCGUGGGGCGCAGGCCAGCAUCGGUUUUCCCAGGGGGAUAAAGGCGGCGGGAACGUGGCUCCCUCGGGAGUGUUAUAGCCCGCCGCGCCAUGCCCCUGGGGGGACCGAGGACCGCGCUUCGGCAAGGAUGCUGGCGUAAUGGCCACCGGCGACCCGUC